rnacentral:lncRNA from 1 species
AUGACAGUUUUCCUUUCCAUGUUUGCUGAUGACCGCGCGGGUCGGAGCAGGAGGGGCUGCCCAGCGAGAGCCCCGGGGCCGAUUCUAAUCUCCGAUGGGCCCCAGCUGCCCGCGUCCGGGGGAGCGGCCGAGGUCCCGGGGAGGCCGGCCACAAAGCCCGGCUGGGCUGGAGCGCGAGGACAGCGGACCGCGGUUGCCACGAGCCCCGCGGGGCGCGCAGCUCGGCGGGGGCGGCUCCGCUCGGCCGGGCCCGAGUUCGCUGGGGGACAACUUACUGUGUUCGCUCUGCGUCCACACUGCCAACUCCCAAGUGGGAGGGGGGAAACAGCAAAAGCUGUGUCGCGUCCGAGAGUACAGGCAACAAAAGAGGAGAGAGAGGGGAGGCGGGGAGGAAGGGAGGCAGGGAGACGGGAGCGCUACCCCGUGCUCCCCGAGAGCGCCCCUCGGAUGCUGAUGGGGAGCCCCUCCCGGAGCGGCGGCCCUUUCUCUGGGCCCCCUCCGGCCCGCUGCUCAGACAGCCCGAGCGCCCGUUCUCUGGCUGCGAGCUGCCCCAGUCUUCCCGGUCUACUAAGUAGAGCACAUCUGCCAUGAAACAUCAGCAGAGAAUGACUUCAUUAAAUAUUACUGUUUUCUGCCUUCACAACAAAACCCUCAAAUGGUGGAAGCGUCCAGGAGGGCAACCAAACUCAUUCUGAGCUGCAAAGGGCUCCUUGCAAAAUUCAACCCGUUGCUGUGCUACUGGUCCCCCGUGAGUAGUGACCCACUGGCUGCUUGUCCAGUUUGAACAAUUGUUACAACAGCAUCUCUAAUACUGGUUUUCGCAGAAGCUUGAGACAACAUAUUUGUGGAUUAGAAACAAUCUUCGAGGCUUGUGAAAUUUGCCCAACAGUCAAUAAUAAUUCAAAAUGAGAGACAAAGGAGGAUAUGUCAUAAGCCUUACAUUCCUUUUUCCCGAAUCCAUUCCUUUGCUUUGAUGUACAUAAUGGAAGUACAAGAUUUUAACCUAUUUGACAUUCACUUUGGAAUUUUCCCCUUCUAUAAUUUUUAAAUUCCCUUGAAAAAUCUCAGGGACCAUUGGUUUUCCUAUUAGUACCAUCUGCUGGUCUGGACAUUCUGACUGGGUUCUGGUUUGUAAGCUUCAAUACACUGAAGAAAACUUAGAACAGGUUUUUAAAGCAAUGAAAAAAAUCUUCACUCAGAGACUUUGUUAAAUGACUUUUCCUUCACACGCACCUUGUAUUUGUCAUAUUUCCAUUUUACUUACCCCCAAAGCAAUAAUUACCAUGACUCCUAGUCAUUCAUAUGUCUAUUCAUAUCUGUUAUAUUACUUUGUAUUGUAUGUUAUUAUAAUGUAUUCAGGCUGACAGGUUGACUUUUUAUUUCCCUUGUUAUGAAAUUUUGGAAAGUUAACGUUAAUGUUUAAUUAUGUAAUCUCCAAGAAGCAAGUUUCAAAUCUACAGGAUAAAAAAUUUGAUUAUUUGAACAUUUCAUAUGUGGUUUAGGUGAACUCUCCUCAACCUCAGAAAAUAAUAUUUACAUUUAUUUCAAACACUAUUAAACAGGUGGAUUGAUUUUGAACUGGUGAGUCUUGUUUUGAAGUAUUUAGUUAUACAGAUACUUACAACUAGUAUCUGUGUAUUAGUCAUAUCUAGUUAUCAGCAGUUUUUUCUUGUGGUUGUCUGUAGUCUACGAUUGAGGCCUUCCAAUAUCCCA